GACAAAUUGUGUAAACUAAUGUUUUAUGUUUUAAUCUAUUUGAAUAUAAUUUUCAGGAAACUAAAGAGACAACAUUCAAAGCUGAAUGAAUUAUAAUGAAAACAAGGACUAUAAUGCUAUUACUGAGAAUUUGGUAAAAGUAAUCACAUACUUAAUGACAAAUCUUAUUGCUGGAAAGAAGCCAGUGAACCUAAGAGCACUGUUGGUUAUUACAUAACAUUAAUGGUUUAAAAGAUUGGGAACUGGUGGAGAUAAGUGAAGAUUUGGAGGAUAUGACAUUAAGAAUUAUUCAUUGAAUCACAGCAUCAAAGCCCUAUAUUUUGAUUCUGGGCCACAAGACAGACCUAUGAAACCCACAUGGCAAGUCGAAUAUUUGUCCCUAUUUUAUAAGUCUAUUACAUAAAUUAUUUCCUUACAAAAAUAGAAGUAUUUCCAUGCAUAUCCAGUCUAGAGGGAAUAAUGUGGUAGUCCAUACAAUUUUCGUGGAUUACAUUUAGGUAAUUAUACUAAAGCAAGUUAGUAGAGAAAUUAUUAAUAGUUUAGAAAGGAAAACAAUCUCAAAAUUUCCAGAACUUGAUGGGCCAAUGGAAUUCAUAUUAUUGGUUAAGCUAAUUUUUUAGAAUGUGAAAGAUACUUUCCAGGGUGUCUUUGUGGAAAAACAAAUAAACAAACAAACAGGAAGAGAUCAAAUGAUGGAAUUGAGAUCAAUUAGGGGCCCAACCAGGAGACUGCGAAAUCACGGGUCCUGCAAGGAUUUCUUAAUCUGCACUUGGUUUGAAUCUCCAGUAGGAAGUUUGCAGUUUGCUGUAAACAAGAUAAGGAACUAUACUUUACAUAAUUUUUUGUGUGAGUAAAUUUAUUUCACUGUUUCAUAUGACAGCUACUUGAUCUGCUUCUUACGUACACACUAGAAAUUUGGGGGAGAAGGACCAACAAUUAGCAAUUUAUUUUCAUUAUGACUCCUCCAAAUUUCCCAACAACAAAAUUUCUUAGGGGGAAAAAAGUGGAGGACAAUCAGAACAAGUCAGAUGACCCUGUGUUCGAAGGCAUUACAGAAAGGAAAAAUAAAAAGUAGGCCCAGCCCAAUGGGAAAAGGAAAAAGUAAAAUAAAAUUAUUGCUCUGUGGGUUGGAAGAGGCACGAGGUUUAAAACGUAAAUAUGGUAGUACACUUUUUUUUUCUGGUAAACCACAUAGCUUUCACUAAACAGGCUAAUGAUAGAACAAACCAUAUGUGAAUACAUGAGAAAGGGUGAGAGAUAAAAAGAGGUGAAAAAGGAUAAAUUGUGAAAGUGGAAUAUAUAGAGGAGAGAGAAAAAGGAAGUUGAGUGAGUAGUUAAUUGUUAGAAAAAGUGCAACAGUGAAAAGAUAUAGAUUUGUAUAAAAAGUUAGGGACUUUUCCUGUUUCUUUUUUUUUAAUUUAGUGCUGCCUUAUUCAUCUCCUGGCAGAAAUCUACAUUAAGCUACUGCAUUACUUUCAAAGGUUUAAUGUUGAACUUAUACUUUAAAAUGUCACACAGUGCCCAAACUGGCCUUGAGUUGGCUCCUGUACAUUUGUAUGACUCAUGUGUAAAAUGAAACGUGUAUGAACAGAUGACAGGCAGAAGAAAGAAUGAGAUGAAAGAGGAGCUCAGAGGUGGCAGAAGUAGCUGGGCAUGGAGAGUAGCUGAGUGGUUUUACUGGAUGGGAAGUUGUCCUGGUUGAUGGAACUUGCUCUUUUCUAAGUAGCUGUGGUUGCUGAAGGCUGUGUAACUCUUCCCUCCCCUCCAUGGCCAAGAUUCUACAGCUCUCCCCAGGCUUUUAAGGCCACGAUGUACGACUGUUUCACUUUUCUAUAGUUUGAUAUGUAUCCUAAUAAUACAUCCCAUCCUAAGUUGUUCUCUGUCUCGGAAAAAUCAAAAGGAGCCUAAUGGAAAGAAUAGUUAUUCCACUUCAUAUUGAAAUAGAAUUUUUGAUUUUCCAGUCAUUCAAGGAUAUACUAUUUUUGGAAUAUAACACACAGGAAUUUCCAAAAAUACAGAAUAUUUCAUAGCACG
rnacentral:lncRNA from 1 species